rnacentral:rRNA from 1 species
CAGGACGAACGCUGGCGGCGUGCUUAAUACAUGCAAGUCAACUUGACUUUAGAUAGCAAUAUCGAAAAGUAGGGUGGCGCACGGGUGCGUAACGCGUAGGUAAUCUGCCCUGAGGUCUGACAUAACCCGUCGAAAGGCGGGCUAACAUCAGAUGAUAUAUAAUCACGACAUCGUGGAAAUAUCAAAUCUUCGGAGCCUUGGGAUGAGCCUGCGUCUGAUUAGGUAGUUGGCGGAGUAAUAGCCCACCAAGCCUACGAUCAGUAGCUGGUCUGAGAGGAUGAUCAGCCACACUGGAACUGAGACACGGUCCAGACUCCUACGGGAGGCAGCAGUAAGGAAUAUUGCUCAAUGGGGGAAACCCUGAAGCAGCAACGCCGCGUGAAGGAUGAAAUACUUUGUAUGUAAACUUCUGUAAGAUGGGAAAAAUAUUCUCCUCGGGAGAAUUGAUUGUACCAUCAGAGUAAGCCCCGGCUAACUACGUG